rnacentral:rRNA from 1 species
GACGAACGCUGGCGGCGUGCCUAAUACAUGCAAGUAGAACGCUGAAGGAGGAGCUUGCUUCUCUGGAUGAGUUGCGAACGGGUGAGUAACGCGUAGGUAACCUGCCUGGUAGCGGGGGAUAACUAUUGGAAACGAUAGCUAAUACCGCAUAAUAGUAGAUGUUGCAUGACAUUUGCUUAAAAGGUGCAAUUGCAUCACUACCAGAUGGACCUGCGUUGUAUUAGCUAGUUGGUGUGGUAACGGCUCACCAAGGCGACGAUACAUAUCCGACCUGAGAGGGUGAUCGGCCAAACUGGGACGGAGACAAGGCCCAGAAUCCUACGGGAGGCAGCAGUAGGGAAACUUCGGCAAUGGACGGAAGUCUGACCGAGCAACGCCGCGUGAGUGAAGAAGGUUUUCGGAUCGUAAAGCUCUGUUGUAAGAGAAGAACGAGUGUGAGAGUGGAAAGUUCACACUGUGACGGUAUCUUACCAGAAAGGGACGGCUAACUACGUG